rnacentral:rRNA from 1 species
AUUGAACGCUGGCGGCAGGCCUAACACAUGCAAGUCGAACGAGUGGCGAACGGGUGAGUAAUGUCUGGGACACUGCCUGAUGGAGGGGGAUAACUACUGGAAACGGUAGCUAAUACCGCAUACCAUCAGAUGUGCCCCGAUGGGAUUAGCUAGUGGGUGGGGUAAAGGCUCACCUAGGCGACGAUCCCUAGCUGGUCUGAGAGGAUGACCAGCCACACUGGAACUGAGACACGGGCCAGACUCCUACGGGAGGCAGCAGUGGGGAAGAUUGCACAAUGGGCGCAAGCCGGAUGCAGCCAUGCCGCGUGUAUGAAGAAGGCCUUCGGGUUGUAAAGUACUUUCAGCGGGGAGGCGUUAACCGCAGAAGAAGCACCGGCUAACUCCGUGCCAGCAGCCGCGGUAAUUC